UUUGUAAUCUACAGAGCCAAAAA
rnacentral:snRNA from 1 species